UACGUAGGGUGCGAGCGUUGCUCGGAAUUACUGGGCGUAAAGGGCGCGUAGGCGGGAUGGCAAGUCGGUCGUGAAAUCCCUCGGCUCAACCGAGGAACGUCGAUCGAUACUGCUGUUCUUGAGGAUUGCAGAGGAGACUGGAAUUCCCGGUGUAGCGGUGAAAUGUGUAGAGAUCGGGAGGAACACCGGUGGCGAAGGCGGGUCUCUGGGCAAUUCCUGACGCUGAGGCGCGAAAGCGUGGGGAGCAAACGGG
rnacentral:rRNA from 1 species